UCUGACCUACGGGAGGCAGCAGUCGGGAAUAUUGCGCAAUGGAGGAAACUCUGACGCAGUGACGCCGUGUAUAGGAAGAAGGUUUUCGGAUUGUAAACUAUUGUCGUUAGGGAAGAGAAAGGACAGUACCUAAGGAGGAAGCUCCGGCUAACUACGUGCCAGCAGCCGCGGUAAUACGUAGGGAGCGAGCGUUAUCCGGAAUUAUUGGGUUUAAAGGGUGCGCAGGCGGAAUGUCAAGUCAGCGGUAAAAUUUCGGGGCUCAACCCCGUCGUGCCGUUGAAACUGGCGUUCUUGAGUGAGCGAGA
rnacentral:rRNA from 1 species